UUUUUUUUUUUUUUUUUUCCCAGAGGGCACUGGCAUGUAGGAGAAGCGGAUUUACCACUAGUAGAUGUUAAUGAAAUUUCAGCUUCUAGGCCCCUAACUUGCAGGACCUGCCCAAGGCCCUGAACUUAAUUUUGUUUUCAUCAUUUGGUAUUUUUUUGUUAAAAGAGCCACCGACCACCUCCCCGCUACCCCAGAACUGCACGUGUUUCUGGCCCUACAAACCCAGAUCGUCCCUUGGAAUAUACACAGGGCAAUUUGUGUAGGAUCACACUGCGCUAAAAGUGAGGCAUGGUGGGCUAGGCGCACUGGCUCACACCUGUAAUCCCAGCACUUUGGGAGACCAAGACAGGAGGUCUUAAGUGAUUAAGCCCAGGAGUUCGAGAUCAGCUUAGACAACAUAGCAAGAUGCUGCCUCUACAAACACACACACCCCCUAUUAUAAUAUGUCAAAAAAAAAAAAAAAAAAAGGAAAAGUGAGGCAUAGAACUGACUUUAUUGUUUUGACUAGGAAAGAGCAAAGGGUUUGGAAUCAAAAGUCCCAACUUCCCCACCUUCUUAAUAGUGUGUGAAUCUGAGUGCCUUAUUAACCUUCCCUGGUCCCAGUUUCGUAUCUGUAAAGUUAGAAUAGCAAUCCUGUUUAAUUUGCUUCUCUCACCAGGGAUCAGAAGGCCAAAUGAGAUGAUGUAUGUAAAAUUGUAAAGUCCUCCACAGAUGGCACUUGCCACAUUACAGAGAACUUGAGACCCCCCCCCACCAAUAACGUUCCAAAUCUUCCACAUGCAGAUCUGGAGUCCAGGUGUCCUGGCUCCUGGCCCUGAACUUUUUGGCUGGGCCAAGGGGCUUUUCGGUAAAGUGCUUUGGAAUAAAACAGGAUGAACAUGAAUCAUAA
rnacentral:lncRNA from 10 species